GCGCGAAAACUUUACAAUGCACGAAAGUGUGAUAGGGGAACUCAGCGUGCUUAUGUUAAACAUAGGCUUUUCUACAGGGUAAAUACCUGUGGGAAUAAAGGAUGGGCAAGACCGGUGCCAGCAGCCGCGGUAACACCGGCGUCCUUAGUGGGAAUCACUUAUUAGGUCUAAAGCGCUCGUAGUCGGCUUUGUAAAUUUCUUGUGAAAUCGUGUCGCUUAACGGCACGGCGUGCAGGAAACACUGCAGAGC
rnacentral:rRNA from 1 species